rnacentral:rRNA from 1 species
GACGAACGCUGGCGGCGUGCUUAACACAUGCAAGUCGAACGGAAAGGCCCUGCUUUUGUGGGGUGCUCGAGUGGCGAACGGGUGAGUAACACGUGAGUAACCUGCCCUUGACUUUGGGAUAACUUCAGGAAACUGGGGCUAAUACCGGAUAGGAGCUCCUGCUGCAUGGUGGGGGUUGGAAAGUUUCGGCGGUUGGGGAUGGACUCGCGGCUUAUCAGCUUGUUGGUGGGGUAGUGGCUUACCAAGGCUUUGACGGGUAGCCGGCCUGAGAGGGUGACCGGCGACAUGGGUACUGAGAUAGGGACCAGACUGCUACGGGAGGCAGCAGUGGAGAGUAUUGCACAAUGGGCGGAAGCGUGAUGCAGCAGCGCCGCGUGCGGGAUGACGGCCUUCGGGUUGUGAACCGCUUUCGCCUGUGACGAAGCGUGAGUGACGGUAAUGGGUAAAGAAGCACCGGCUAACUACGUG